rnacentral:misc_RNA from 1 species
UUCAAUUCUAUCUUUCAUGUUUUUUAAUAAUUUUCUGAAUAAAAAAGGCUAAGUUUUCCACAGCUAAUCACCUCAUUUUUUUUUUCUUUCCCUCGAGGUUGCCAAGUUUCUUGGGUGCAGGAAGUUUCGUCUCCCCUUUCGCGUCUCUCUGUGUCAUGAUCUAAUCUAAUUUCAACGUUUUUCUUCUAGAAGAGGAAACAAAAACUAUUUUUCUUUGACUAGUUCUUAUCCUAGCGGCCAGUGGUCUAUAAAUAGGAAGAAUGCUCAACACCGAGUACCAUCCUCAUUAUUCUUUGGUCUUUCUUUCUUCUAAUUAGCAUACUUAUAAUGGGCGUGUCAAAGAAUUUGCAGGUCAUGGCUAUGGUGGUUUUCAUAACAAUCAGCUUGGUUCUUCCAGAGGUCGCUUCAUCAACUGCACUUGUCACUGAUGCAAUCCCAAAAACCAUUUUUGGAAGGAAGCUUCUUGUUGAUCCACCGCCUCCUACUACAUAUGAAACCUGGCCAGGAACUGGAGGACGUCCAUGUUGCGGAACUCCCCCAUAAGGCGGUGGCGGCUGCAUGGGAUGCUGCUGCACUAGCCCCAUUAAUUAUGAUGGGAAAUUUAGAUCACCUAUAAUCACCAUAAUAUAUGAGAAAAGAAGGGUUUAUCUAAAAAAUGAUUAAUAAAAAAAAAAAGCCCUUAAUCUCUUUUGCUAUUAAGAUACACUUAUUUACUUGGGUAUUAGUCCAUUGAUUUUUAGUGUACUAGCAAAGAAAAUAAAAUGCAGUCAUA